GUAAGAAGCAAAUCUCAGUAAGUACUUAUUAGAACGAAAGUAACGUUAAACAAGUACUAACUACGCUCAGAACUGAGCAAUAUGGAAUUCACGGAUCCUUUUGCAACCCAUAAUUAAGUGCCCACAAGCAGAAGAGAUGUCCACCAUGGGCUAGACCCAGUUAGCCAUAAAACGCUAGAAAUUUCCUAUAUUGAAAAUAUGCCAAACACACAAUUUUUGACAAAAUUAAGCUGAUGACAAAAACAAUAGAGCAUGUUUGGGAU
rnacentral:misc_RNA from 1 species